rnacentral:lncRNA from 1 species
UUUUUGGGGGGGUGGGGGGCUAAGGGGGGGUGGGGAAGGGGUUGGUUUUGUUAAGGAUGUAAUAGCAAUUUUUUAAUUCAGUCGUCUCUGGUUUUAUGACAUCUAUGAGGUUAUCACAAGUCUAAUAAAAAACUGGCAAAUCAAUAUGAAAAACUAAACCCCGGUUAUAAUUUAAAGCAAAGGAUUUAAAAUUAAUCAUUACAAGUUUUGAUUCACAGAUAAGGCCUCAUCAUUUCAAAGCUCCACUACUGGGUCAUGAAUAAUGACUCUAACAAAAUAUAAAAUAAUGAGAAAUUUAUAUUACCUCACAUUCAUGUGUUUAAAACAAUUUAAAUCAAAAGACACUUUUAACUCUUCCUUCUUUUCCUCUAACACAACUUCAAGGAAUAUUUUAAACAAUGAAUUUAGCGACAUGCCCUAACAUUCUUCUUUAAGUAAUAAUUUAAGGAAAAACAAAUCCUGAACUGUUUUCAACUCCUACUAAGUCUGCACACAUAAGCAGACAAAGAAGGGUAAUUCAAGGCAAACUUUAAAAAUACUCUUUCAAUUACUACGCUAUUUCAGGAAAAACAGUAAGGAGAGAAUAAUGAAAUAACUGCUUCAAUUCUCCAUUUCACUGCACAUGUAAUAAACAUGACCAUAAAGACAAAUACAUUUGAAAGUAAAUGAAAUGUUAUUUUAAUUUGUUCCCAAUUCCUUAAGUCGUAAGUCUGGCAAAGGAUCAAUCUUUCAAAGUUCCAGAACAGGACUUAUGCAAUAUUAAUUCCCAAGAAUGUACAAUAAAUCUUUGAAUUUUUUAUUCAUAAAGAACAAGAUAACAUUCACCAGUUCUCCCCACCCUCCUCCCACAAAUUGCAAUAGUUUAUCGAUUAAUACCUGCACUACUGUACUGAACAGAUUCUGCUCUGAGCAGAGCUGGUAUGUUGGUUAUCUUCUUCCGAGUACUUCACUAUUUCUGCCCUGACAAUACGCUGUCAAUUCCGUAUAACAGAAACAAGAUGCAG